AAUCCUACGGGGGGCAGCAGUGGGGAAUAUUGCACAAUGGGGGAAACCCUGAUGCAGCGACGCCGCGUGGGUGACGAAGUAUUUCGGUAUGUAAAGCCCUAUCAGCAGGGAAGAAGAUGACAGUACCUGACUAAGAAGCCCCGGCUAACUACGUGCCAGCAGCCGCGGUAAUACGUAGGGGGCAAGCGUUAUCCGGAUUUACUGGGUGUAAAGGGAGCGUAGACGGCAGUGCAAGUCUGAAGUGAAAGGCAAGGGCUCAACCCUUGGACUGCUUUGGAAACUGUGCUGCUCGAGUGUCGGAGAGG
rnacentral:rRNA from 1 species